rnacentral:rRNA from 1 species
GACGAACGCUGGCGGCGUGCUUAACACAUGCAAGUCGAACGGUAAGGCCCUUCGGGGUGCACGAGUGGCGAACGGGUGAGUAACACGUGGGUGAUCUGCCCUGCACUUCGGGAUAAGCCUGGGAAACUGGGUCUAAUACCGGAUAGGACCACUGCCUGCAUGGGUGGUGGUGGAAAGCUUUUGCGGUGUGGGAUGGGCCCGCGGCCUAUCAGCUUGUUGGUGGGGUGAUGGCCUACCAAGGCGACGACGGGUAGCCGGCCUGAGAGGGUGACCGGCCACACUGGGACUGAGACACGGCCCAGACUCCUACGGGAGGCAGCAGUGGGGAAUAUUGCACAAUGGGCGCAAGCCUGAUGCAGCGACGCCGCGUGAGGGAUGACGGCCUUCGGGUUGUAAACCUCUUUCAGCACCGACGAAGCGCAAGUGACGGUAGGUGCAGAAGAAGGACCGGCCAACUACGUGCCAGCCGCCGCGGUAA